CACCUAGCGGCCCCAGGCGAGGGUGGACCGGGCUCCCUUGCUCAGGUGCCCGGGGAGGACCCCGCGGCCGCUCUCUCCCCACGCUGCGGGCGGGGAAGCAGCAAGCGCGGCAGGUGCAGGGCGGAGCUGCCGCCGCCCCCGCGCCGGGCGGAGGUGGGGAGCGCGGCGAGCGGCGGCGAGUCCCGAGCGCGCAGAGAAAGCCAUUUCAGUGAGUUUGUGGCUACUUGAUAUCAUUAACUGCCGUAGGAUGUUGAAAGUCUACACAUUUCUCUGUGAUGAACUUGAAGAAAACUAUGGUGAAAUAGAGUGCGGAGCCAGCAGCAGCCAGGGCUGGGUUCAGUAUGAGGGAGUUCCUCUCCAUUCACCCAACACAGAACUGGCUUGAGUCUCCCUACUCAGUAACCCAGGAAAUUCACACACCAGCCGUGGACACCUCUGAGAGGCAAUGCUUCCCCACUUGCAAGCACAGAGCCUGAGUAGAAAAGGAACUUUUAAUAAAAGGGAAGGAAGUAACUUGGCAUUAAUUUGGAAAAAUACCACAAACAAGAUUCAUAAACAAGCACUAUGAGUAAAAGUCCCUGUUCAAGUAGUUUGGGCAGUGUUCUUUUCCUCUCACAUUGCUUGUCUUCAGAACCUAAUAACCCCUUCACAUGCCCAAACUUUCUCUGCACCCCACUCAGAGUUGCUGCCCUGGGUCAGGACAGACUGAGAAUUCAGAAGUGCAUCUGCAGAGUUCACCUCCCAUUGGGGUUGGAGGAGGUAAAGGGGCAUCUUACUUUCCUGGUCACUCAUCAACCACCUGCUCACUGCUUUUCACCACUGCCCUGCUGGCUGCUUAUCACACUUUUCUGCCACUGCCCUGCUGGCACUUGUCAUGCUUCUCCACUUCCAUUAGGCUGGCCACUUGUCGUGCCACCACUGCCCUGCUGGUCUCUCAUUGUAUCUCUCUGCCACUGUGUUGCUGGCUGUUAGUCACCAUCCACUGCCAUCCACCUCUUGACUGUGACUUCUGCCCAUCAGUCUCAAAUGAUUUCAGCUCCCAGUGAUUUCACUCUUAGCAAGCACGAUAGGAGAAAUACAACUCCCAACACAAUUAACAUAAAAAAGAGGCUUUUAAUUAUGCCUAUUUAAGAUUUGUUUUUUGAACAGUGAAGUGGGGGGAAGGAGGGAGGAGGAGAGGCAGGUUAGAUCAGCCCAGGCAAGGGAGGGUAUGCACCUCCUGCCUCAAUUUACAGGAUGCUUACUUUCAUGUUACGAUUCAAUCCUCCUGACAGGCGUUUUCUCCGCUUCACCUUAAGUACCCAGCACUACCAAUAUACCAUCCAACCUUCUGGAUUCUCCACAGCACCAAGAGUUUUCUCCAAGAUGCUCAUGGUAGUUACUGCCCACCUGAGGAAACAAGACAUGGUGAUAUACCCUUACCCUUAUGAUUGCCUCAUCAAGGCAAAAACUGAAGUGGAUUCUCAUUGAAGCACUUACCUGGUCAUGGCAUGCUUCCACUCCCUGGGCUUGUUAAUAAACAAAACAAAAUCAUUGCUCACACCAACACAAUCCAUACAACUCAUUGGAGCACAGCUUGAUUCAACAGCCUCCAUAGCUUCCCUGCCAUGAGACAGAUUCUUAAUAAUCCGUGACUUGGAUCUCAAAUUGCAUUUAAUGCCAUGAGUCAUGGUGCAUGACUGUCUUCAGCUACUCGGCCAUAUGGUAUCAUGCAACCCAGUAGUGCCAAACACAUGUCUCUUUAUGCGAUGCCUACAAGGCUGACUCAGGACAGCCUACAUGCCAAAUUAUCACCCUCUCACCCAAAUCC